rnacentral:rRNA from 1 species
GACGAACGCUGGCGGCGUGCUUAACACAUGCAAGUCGAACGGAAAGGCCCUGCUUUUGUGGGGUGCUCGAGUGGCGAACGGGUGAGUAACACGUGAGUAACCUGCCCUUGACUUUGGGAUAACUUCAGGAAACUGGGGCUAAUACCGGAUAGGAGCUCCUGCUGCAUGGUGGGGGUUGGAAAGUUUCGGCGGUUGGGGAUGGACUCGCGGCUUAUCAGCUUGUUGGUGGGGUAGUGGCUUACCAAGGCUUUGACGGGUAGCCGGCCUGAGAGGGUGACCGGCCACAUUGGGACUGAGAUACGGCCCAGACUCCUACGGGAGGCAGCAGUGGGGAAUAUUGCACAAUAGGCGGGAGCCUGAUGCAGCAACGCCGCGUGCGGGAUGACGGCCUUCGGGUUGUAAACCGCUUUCGCCUGUGACGAAGCGUGAGUGACGGUAAUGGGUAAAGAAGCACCGGCUAACUACGUG